CCCCUGGUGGUCUAGUGGUUAGGACUCAGCCCUUUUACUGCUGUGGGCAGGGUUCAAUCCCUGGUUGGGGA
rfam:TPA: Bos taurus chromosome 2, whole genome shotgun sequence.